rnacentral:rRNA from 1 species
UUAAAUUGAAGAGUUUGAUCAUGGCUCAGAUUGAACGCUGGCGGCAGGCCUAACACAUGCAAGUCGAACGGUAACAGGAAGCAGCUUGCUGCUUUGCUGACGAGUGGCGGACGGGUGAGUAAUGUCUGGGAAACUGCCUGAUGGAGGGGGAUAACUACUGGAAACGGUGGCUAAUACCGCAUAACGUCGCAAGACCAAAGAGGGGGACCUUCGGGCCUCUUGCCAUCAGAUGUGCCCAGAUGGGAUUAGCUAGUUGGUGAGGUAACGGCUCACCAAGGCGACGAUCCCUAGCUGGUCUGAGAGGAUGACCAGCCACACUGGAACUGAGACACGGUCCAGACUCCUACGGGAGGCAGCAGUGGGGAAUAUUGCACAAUGGGCGCAAGCCUGAUGCAGCCAUGCCGCGUGUAUGAAGAAGGCCUUCGGGUUGUAAAGUACUUUCAGCGGGGAGGAAGGUGUUGUGGUUAAUAACCGCAGCAAUUGACGUUACCCGCAGAAGAAGCACCGGCUAACUCCGUGCCAGCAGCCGCGGUAAUACGGAGGGUGCAAGCGUUAAUCGGAAUUACUGGGCGUAAAGCGCACGCAGGCGGUCUGUCAAGUCGGAUGUGAAAUCCCCGGGCUCAACCUGGGAACUGCAUUCGAAACUGGCAGGCUUGAGUCUUGUAGAGGGGGGUAGAAUUCCAGGUGUAGCGGUGAAAUGCGUAGAGAUCUGGAGGAAUACCGGUGGCGAAGGCGGCCCCCUGGACAAAGACUGACGCUCAGGUGCGAAAGCGUGGGGAGCAAACAGGAUUAGAUACCCUGGUAGUCCACGCCGUAAACGAUGUCUACUUGGAGGUUGUGCCCUUGAGGCGUGGCUUCCGGAGCUAACGCGUUAAGUAGACCGCCUGGGGAGUACGGCCGCAAGGUUAAAACUCAAAUGAAUUGACGGGGGCCCGCACAAGCGGUGGAGCAUGUGGUUUAAUUCGAUGCAACGCGAAGAACCUUACCUGGUCUUGACAUCCACAGAACUUUCCAGAGAUGGAUUGGUGCCUUCGGGAACUGUGAGACAGGUGCUGCAUGGCUGUCGUCAGCUCGUGUUGUGAAAUGUUGGGUUAAGUCCCGCAACGAGCGCAACCCUUAUCCUUUGUUGCCAGCGAUUAGGUCGGGAACUCAAAGGAGACUGCCAGUGAUAAACUGGAGGAAGGUGGGGAUGACGUCAAGUCAUCAUGGCCCUUACGACCAGGGCUACACACGUGCUACAAUGGCGCAUACAAAGAGAAGCGACCUCGCGAGAGCAAGCGGACCUCAUAAAGUGCGUCGUAGUCCGGAUUGGAGUCUGCAACUCGACUCCAUGAAGUCGGAAUCGCUAGUAAUCGUGGAUCAGAAUGCCACGGUGAAUACGUUCCCGGGCCUUGUACACACCGCCCGUCACACCAUGGGAGUGGGUUGCAAAAGAAGUAGGUAGCUUAACCUUCGGGAGGGCGCUUACCACUUUGUGAUUCAUGACUGGGGUGAAGUCGUAACAAGGUAACCGUAGGGGAACCUGCGGUUGGAUCACCUCCUUA